GGCCCAAACACGAAGUAGAGUACAUUAGUAUGGUUAGAUGAUCGUACUGAUCGACUCUACUUCAAAUUUGGACCC
rfam:Haemonchus contortus, ISE/inbred ISE, WGS project CAVP01000000 data, contig: Hcontortus_contig_pathogens_Hcontortus_scaffold_3489